GAUGAACGCUGGCGGCGUGCCUAAUACAUGCAAGUCGAGCGAACAGACGAGGAGCUUGCUCCUCUGACGUUAGCGGCGGACGGGUGAGUAACACGUGGAUAACCUACCUAUAAGACUGGGAGAACUUCGGGAAACCGGAGCUAAUACCGGAUAAUAUAUUGAACCGCAUGGUUCAAUAGUGAAAGACGGUUUUGCUGUCACUUAUAGAUGGAUCCGCGCCGCAUUAGCUAGUUGGUAAGGUAACGGCUUACCAAGGCAACGAUGCGUAGCCGACCUGAGAGGGUGAUCGGCCACACUGGAACUGAGACACGGUCCAGACUCCUACGGGAGGCAGCAGUAGGGAAUCUUCCGCAAAGGGCGAAAGCCUGACGGAGCAACGCCGCGUGAGUGAUGAAGGUCUUCGGAUCGUAAAACUCUGUUAUUAGGGAAGAACAAAUGUGUAAGUAACUAUGCACGUCUUGACGGUACCUAAUCAGAAAGCCACGGCUAACUACGUG
rnacentral:rRNA from 1 species